rnacentral:rRNA from 1 species
AAUGAACGCUGGCGGCAUGCCUAACACAUGCAAGUCGAACGAAGGCUUCGGCCUUAGUGGCGCACGGGUGCGUAACGCGUGGGAAUCUACCCUUGGGUUCGGAAUAACUCAGAGAAAUUUGAGCUAAUACCGGAUAAUGACGUAAGUCCAAAGAUUCAUCGCCCAAGGAUGAGCCCGCGUAGGAUUAGCUUGUUGGUGAGGUAAAAGCUCACCAAGGCGACGAUCCUUAGCUGGUCUGAGAGGAUGAUCAGCCACACUGGGACUGAGACACGGCCCAGACUCCUACGGGAGGCAGCAGUGGGGGAAU